UCAAAAAAUCACAGUGCUGCCUAGGAGGGGAAAUGCCUUAGCCAGUCACCCAACACAUGUAGGCUCAGCCUCCAGCAGCUUUGAAGGGGGCAGAAAGGGAGGAUGAAAGGCGGGAAGGCUGGGAGAAGCUGGGGUCAGGGAGAUCUGUUAGCUCAGCAUGACCCAGGAAGAGGCAGGAGAGGAAGGGGUGAAUUCCUUUCCUUCUUUCACUCCGUUGAGCAAAGUGAGUCUCCUCUACACAGUAAUUAUGGGUCAACAGGCAAGAGCAAGUUCUUCUGCUUGAGGCAGAAAAAAUAAUGCCUCAGUGAACUGCAGCUUAGUUCACAAAACUUUGUGUGAAUAAAUCAGAUAUUCCCAUUUUGUAAAAAGAUAUAAACACUCAGGAAAUACCUACUCAAAUAUUUGUUCUAAGUUCUCUCGAAAUGUUUGAGGUUUCCAGAAUGUCUGUUACAUUUCUUAUAUGACAUUUAGAAGCCUCACUGAUUAUCCUUGACUUAUAUAUAUUUAAAAUGUGGUUUAGUUUGGGCAUCUUCCCAGAAGCCCUAAUUUUGAGAGAGCACUGUUACAAUAGAUUUGUCUUCCUGGUUAUUUUUCCUAUGGAUUCUAUUUUAAAGUUACAAUUUUAAAAUUAUUAUCUAUGAAUUUCUUCAAAAAUUCCUACAAAAAACUAUGAAAAUGUGUUUUUUAGUAAGAGAGGCACCCAAAUGCCUCUAUCUGUUAAACCUUGGACUCCUCACCCCUAGGAUAACACCAUGAACUGCAGACAAAUGUAUCUGAGGCAUUUGUAAGAAGUGGCUCAUUCCACAGCUAUAAUUCUCAGCUAAAGUCCUGGAAGAAGUUGGAAAUGGAGCAUUUAUCAAGAGCAAAAGGAAGACUUGGCUGGAACAAACCGUGCCCUAUUUCCCUGGAAUGGAGACUUCUUCAGAGGUAGCUGGGCAGAGGCUGAGCUAGCAUGACACACCAAGUUGCCCACUGAGUCCACACUGGGUUCUAGACAGAGAGGAUGUGGCGUGGGAUGACCUCAGGGUGUUGGAGAAAGGCCAUGAAGAAAUCCACUUAAAUAAAAUAGGGACCCAAACUUUAUGCUGGACAAUGAAAAUGUCCAGUGUUACAUUGUGGGGACUUUAUCCCAAAAACUGAAACAAAAACUCUGAAAAUAAGUUAUCUGAUAUUAAACAUAAUUUUGGACGUAGUUCUAACCAAGCUACCGUUCUUAGAAAAUAAGCAGGAAUUAAGUGUUGAUUAUUUCUCAUCUGGGUGAUUUUUCUGGCAAAAAUCCACAUUAGUACAAUUAAAUAGCCUCUCUUUUAUACAGAGAGCUUAUCAGCAAGACCAUAAAGAAAGUCGGUUUUGCAGAGACAGGCAGGGGCUUUAUUUCCUGAAGGGCCGCUGAUAACCCUUGAUAAGCAUAUCAUUCUCUCUGAAGGCACAUCCUGUUUGCCAUCUUCCUGAUCAUUUUCUCCUCUUCAGUAGGGAAUGAGUUCGUCUCUACUAAAUCAUCAUUGUCAGUGAUGUACCCCCCGCCAAGAGGGGCGGAGGUUCCCAACCUCCCAGCCCAUGACUUUAUGAAAUUCCACAUCUGUCACAAGAUUGCACAUCUUACUUUGCAAGGCAUUUGCACUGGAUUAUCGGGUAGGAUCCUGACUCAGAGAGAGACUGAACUACAGGGAACUGGAUGCCUCUGCGGAGGUUGAUGAGAGGUAGGGAAGACGGAUGUUGGGGAUAAGGGAGAGGGGGACUCGUUGUUAAAGAUGGCCAGUUCAUAGGGAGUAUCCUUGUUUAGGACAACUUUGACCGAACAUACUCAACCUUCUGACUUUUCAGAAUCAGAUAGCUGGGGUUCUCUGCAUAUCAUCUGGAUUUUUGAACCCAACCCUUUGGCCUCAGUUUCCUGGAUAUUUUGGAUAAAAGCACACCCCCAUUUUGCCUGAGUUAUCUUGCAAACAGCCCCGAUUUUUGGCUUCAUUUAUUGUCUGGGUUUUGAUACCAGAUGAACAUUUUUGGAGCAUCCACUGUGUGCAAAACUCCAAGGAGCCACUGGGGCUUCUGCAGAGCCCCUGCCGCAUGCUUUUCUCCAAGAUGCCAUCUGGAGAACCCCAUCCUGCACAGUUUCAAGCAGCACUUCUGGGACGCUUGGUUGUCCUGCCUCUCUGGUGACCCCAGCUCUUUUCACAUCACUUUGCUUGCCAUGCACAACUGCAAUUAUUUGUGUGCCAGUCUCCCUCCACUUCACCCUCACGGGCAGCCCCAGGGCAUGGGCUCACCACCCUCCUUGGGUCUCUACUUGUGCUUUUCUCCAUCACUGGGUAACGCUGAGCGAAUAUGUCUCCCUGACUCAGCUUCUCCCAGCCUUCCCACUUCUCAUCCUCUCCUUCUGCCCACCUCAAAGCUGCUGGAGGCUGAGCCUAUGUGUGUUGGGUGACUGGCUAAGGCAUUUCCCCUCCUAGGCAGCACUGUGAUUUUUUUUAAAAAAUCAUCCUUAUUGAAGUGGAGGUGUGGACCCCUUUCCCGACUCAGAGGACUGUGGUGAGGACAAGGAAGAUGGCAUCAAACCACUUGCAUUUUAUUUGGUAUUUCUCAAAGCCCCUUAACAUCAACUAUCUCAACAUUAUUCCCCCCAGUCACCAUGUGUGGUAGGCAUGAAAGAUACUGUCCCUAAAGUGGGUUGAUAAAGUAGUAGUUAGAGUGACUAUGCUCAGAGAAGGUGUGAUUUGCCCAAAAUUAUACAACUUGUGAGUGGUGA
rnacentral:lncRNA from 1 species